rnacentral:rRNA from 1 species
UACCAGCACCCCGAGUGGUCGGGACGAUUAUUGGGCCUAAAGCAUCCGUAGCCGGUUCUGCAAGUCCCCCGUUAAAUCCAGCUGCUCAACAGAUGGGCCGCGGAGGAUACUACAGAGCUAGGAGGCAGGAGAGGCAAGCGGUACUCAGUGGGUAGGGGUAAAAUCCGUUGAUCCAUUGAAGACCACCAGUGGCGAAGGCGGCUUGCCAGAAUGCGCUCGACGGUGAGGAAUGAAAGCUGGGGGAGCAAACCGG